CCCAAUAUUACGCGUGCGGCUAUUCUCCCCAAUUCUAAAAAACAGUCCGUAGAAAGUACCUUUUAGGAAUAAGCCAAAAAAUAAAUUAAAACCUAGUAUUCAAUCUUUUCCCAAUCUCAGGUCCAAGACGCAAAUACCUUCAUCUCUUUCUGCAAAUUCUUCCAACCUCCCAUUGAGUAUGACCAAUCAUCUUCCCUAUUUUAUUUAGACUUAAUACUCAAAAUUAUGCAUAUAUAAUCCAUCUGAUUGAGAAUAUUUAUUUUAUUUCUUUUUUGAUAUAUGAUGCAUUUGAUUUUAGUUGAUUAUGGCAGAGGGGACAAGAAGAUUGUCAAUGGCAAACACUUCAAUCACUCCUUUAGGAAUAUUAGUCAACGCUCGAGAAGAUCUGUGGUGGACGUGAAGUUGAGUUUGGCUUAGCAUAAGUGUCAUGUUUAAGUAAGAAAGUCUUAUCAUUUUACAACACAUUAUUUUGAAAACUUACUCUUGACAUUUAGCAUUUAUUUGUACAAUAUAGUUAAUACUUAAUUAUUAUUAUUAUAUAUUUACUUUUAGGAAUUCAAAUGUUCCUAAUCCAAGCUAAGUAAUAGUAAGUCAUGCUGCAAACGAAGAUUUUAUUAGCUACUCAAGUUGCAAUAGUAAGUUGUGCUGCAAGCUAAGAUUUUAUUAUUAUAUUUCCAUUCUCUUUAGCUGAAUAAUACUUUUUGCGGAGAUGCUACAUGGACAAUUCUUCUUUGUUCUUAUGAUUAUUCCGUUCAAAGCUUUCUGAAUCCUUUGCAUUAGCAUUUUUAUGCCCCUACUACAAUUGCAUUACAACCCUCCCACCCCCGAAUGACGCAAUUGUUCUUGUCAUUAUCAGAUGAUUGCUACAAGUUAACAUAAUAGUGGAUAAUGCAUUAUCAUAUAAUUGUUACAUAUUUCUGAAAAAUGUUGUUGUGAAUGCUGUUCAGUAUUGUUUCUCUUUGGCAGUCUGAAUUUUUAAAGCUUCAGAGAAACACCAGACGAUGCAUUUAAGGCAGUAUUUGAAAAGGAAUAUCCUGGUCGAGUUAGAUGCUAUGGUAGAUCGGUGACGACAAGCUCUCUGAAAAAAGACGAGGAAAUCAACAAGCUUAAACAGAAUCAUGCCAAUGAAAUUAUUUCUAUGAAGGAAUAAUUGAAAGAAAUGAGGAGAGAAGAAAAUGCAAUUUUUUUAGUCAAUUGAUACAAAACAAUUCUGGAUUUAAUAUUUAAAAUAUACCAGGGUGUGCCGGAUCUAACCUUCAUUCACCUGUUGAUGCAAGUAGUGCACGGAAUGUGAGAGCGCAAAAUCUUCCCCACUCUUCUGGCUCAAAUCAUGCGCUGAGUCUUGAAAAGAGAUCAAAUCUUUUCUAAAGGAUGUUCUGGGGACUGGAAAAGAUUAGCCUCGAGCAAAAGAAUACAAUUACAUGGGAUCUGCAAUGAAGAGUGUAAAGGCUUUGCCAUUUACAAGUCUCGGAAGGCAAAAGCUAUUGAAGAGAACAAAGAAAAUACAAAUGGGGAACUUAAGGUACAGAAACCUUCAGAAGUUUCUGCUCGUCUGAACAAGAAAAACUCACAUGCUGCAUAGAUAAAUGGGGAGAUCAAGCUUACAAAAUGAGUUACAUAAUCAAAAGAUGAUGUGAAGGGUGUAAAACCCACCAUGUAUCAGAAAAGAAACCUGUAGCUAAGGGCAACAAUGUUUUUUUUAGUAGAUGCUAGUUUCAAUUGUUUAAUGCGUUUAAAACAUUUUCAUGAUACAUACAUUCAAUUUGUUAAGUUCAUUGCUAGGACGCAAGGUUGAGCAAUUUGCUUUAUAGUUAAUGUAGUACAUGAUAUAUCUAUAUACUUUGGAAGGUCAUAGCAAGUGUACUCCUUUGAAUUUUUUUGGUUA